rnacentral:rRNA from 1 species
CCCGCUGAACUUAAGCAUAUCAAUAAGCGGAGGAAAAGAAACUAACAAGGAUUCCCCUAGUAACUGCGAGUGAAGCGGGAAAAGCUCAAAUUUAAAAUCUGGUGGUCUUUGGCCAUCCGAGUUGUAAUUUAGAGAAGUGUCUUCCGCGCUGGACCAUGCACAAGUCUCCUGGAAUGGAGCGUCAUAGAGGGUGAGAAUCCCGUCUUUGGCAUGGACACACCAGGGCUUCUGUGAUGCGCUCUCGAAGAGUCGAGUUGUUUGGGAAUGCAGCUCAAAAUGGGUGGUGAACUCCAUCUAAAGCUAAAUAUUGGCGAGAGACCGAUAGCGAACAAGUACCGUGAGGGAAAGAUGAAAAGCACUUUGGAAAGAGAGUGAAACAGUACGUGAAAUUGUUGAAAGGGAAACGCUUGAAGUCAGUCGCGUCGGCCGAGACUCAGCCUUGCCUCGGCUUGGUGUAUUUCUUGGCCCGACGGGUCAGCAUCAAUUUUGACCAGUGGAGAAAGGUCAGGGGAAUGUGGCAUCUUCGGAUGUGUUAUAGCCCUUGGUUGCAUACAUUGGUUGGGAUUGAGGAACUCAGCACGCCGCAAGGCCGGGUAACUAUUACCACGAUCGUGCUUAGGAUGCUGGCAUAAUGGCUUUAAUCGACCCGUCUUGAAACACGG